ensembl:snoRNA SNORD42 Small nucleolar RNA SNORD42
UUGCAAAUGAUGGAAAUGUUAUUUGGACUGAAUACAUUGAUGAGCUCAAAGGAACCACUGAUGCAC